UCGUUUUAAGUUUAGAAUUUGGAUCUAGUCUAGACGUCUAGACUCUAGAAUAGUAACUAGAUAAAUAGUCUCAUGUUUAUUGGGAGAUGGAACGACUCCGACGCUCACUCAAAAAUUAUAUUCACGCUUAUUGAAUAUGACACCUAACUGUGUCUCAACUGUCUGAUUUUCAACAACUGGAAACUUUAGACCAGGGACUUUGACAUAAGGUCUAGUCUAGAUCUAAAUAAAGUUAAAGAUCUACAUGUGAUUUGUAUAUGUUGUAAAACAAUAAAAUAUGAAUAAUGGAGCCAUGGUUACAGUGAGUAAAGAGCCAGUAACUCCUGUGGCAGUUAACUCUGCUGAGGUACUCAUUCUGCCCAUGGCUAAAAUUAGAAGCAAGAUUGCUGGGGAGGGAGGUAAAGAUGAAGAGCAUUAUCAUCAGGAGGAACACAAGAUCAAUGAGAAGGUUGCUGAUCAACACAAGGUAUUUACAGCUUUGAUAGCUGGAGCUAUGGCGGGAGCCCUGGCUAAAACUGUCAUUGCCCCACUGGACAGGACCAAAAUUAAUUUUCAAAUUGCCAACAAGAGAUUCUCCGCCAGAGAAGCCAUCCACUUCCUGUACCAGACUGUGAAAGAGUCAGGCUUCCUGUCCCUAUGGAGGGGCAACUCUGCCACCCUGGUCAGGAUUAUACCAUACGCUGCCAUCCAGUUCAGCUCCCACGAGCAGUAUAAACUUUGGUUGAACUUCAACAAUAAAAAGCAUUUACCUCCACACUUACGGUUCCUGGCAGGGUCUUUAGCAGGCGUGACCUCUGUGGCCUUCACCUACCCACUGGAUCUGUGUAGGGCCCGUAUGGCUGUCACUCCCAAAGAGACGUACAAUCACAUAGGGGAAGUGUUUAUGAAAAUGAUACGUGUAGAAGGAGUACGGUCGAUCUACCGCGGGUUCACCCCCACCAUGCUUGGAUCUAUCCCGUAUUCAGGAUCCAGUUUCUUCACAUAUGAAACUUUAAAGAAAUUUCAUGCAGAAACCCACAAAGGCAAAGACCCAACGCCCAUAGAGAGAAUGUUGUUUGGUGCCGUGGCUGGAAUGGUUGGCCAGUCUGCCUCGUAUCCCUUGGACAUUGUUAGAAGAAGAAUGCAAACUGCUGGAGUCACUGGUCACAUUCACGACUACACCUCUAUCAUGAACACAGCACGGCUCAUAGUGAAGGAGGAGGGGUUUAUACGAGGGAUGUACAAAGGUUUGAGCAUGAACUGGAUUAAAGGACCAAUCGCUGUCGGGGUCAGCUUCACAACCUUUGACAUACUCAAGCAUUGGUUGCGUAAACUUCCAUACUUUCAGGACGACUCGAAGAAAACAUGAGCCGACGUUGACGUUUAGAAAUUAUUUAAAAAAUUCUUUUUGGAAUUUUCCAGUACGACGGAUUGAAACGAGAAACUUUUGCUUGUAAUGAUUGAGACCAGCAGUUUGUGAGUCGAGGAUUGGAACGAGAAACAUUUGCUUGUAAUGAUUGAGACCAGCAGUUUGUGAGUCGAGGAUUGGAACGAGAAACAUUUGCUUGUAAUGAUUGAGACCAGCAGUUUGUGAGUCGAGGAUUGGAACGAGAAACAUGUGCUUGUAAUGAUUGAGACCAGUAGUUUGUGAGUCGAGGAUUGGAACGAGAAACAUUUGCUUGUAAUGAUUGAGACCAGCAGUUUGUGAGUCGAGGAUUGGAACGAGAAACAUUUGCUUGUAAUGAUUGAGACCAGCAGUUUGUGAGUCGAGGAUUGGAACGAGAAACAUUUGCUUGUAAUGAUUGAGACCAGCAGUUUGUGCGUCGAGGAGAAAGUGUUCUUACGAGGGUACAAUCCUGACACAAACCUUCCACAAUCUGUGAUUGUGGUAUAACAGAUUGUGGUAUACACUGCUGGGGUGAUAUAUUGAUGCCUUUUGUGAUUCGUGUUUAGACGGUUUUGAUAAAAAUAUCCCCGUGUGUAUAGAAAACUGAUUGUCAUGUGAUAUUUGUGAUUUCAACUGUAUACAACUGUAAACACUAGCCUAGUUGGGACUUGUCAAUGAGUGCUGAUAAACAGAUAAUUAGUUUUACAAACUAGCCUAGGUGGACAUAAUUAAUGAACAUUAUUAAACAGAUGAUUAAUUUUACAAACUAGCCUAAGUGGACUUACUAAUGGGCAUUGUUAAAUAGAUGAAUAGUUUUACAAGCUAGUCUACUUUGACAGAAAUGAUGAGUGCUGUUUAAAAGAAUAAUUUAAUGAAGAGUAAAAGAAGGAACUUACAAAUAGAUACCCAAAGUUUUUUGCACAAACUCAUUCAUUAGUUGGAUGAGCUAGCAACAGUAUUAUGAAUAGUCUAUUGCUAUAGUCAUAAAAUAAAAAUAUUUUUUAAUAGUUGAAAGAAUCUGUUGACAUUUUUUUGAGUUCUUGUACAUUUUAUUUACUUUUUUUUUUCCAACAUAUGAUCUACAUUUAAAAAAUGUAAAUAUUGCUUUAAGGAAAGAGCUUAAAAACUUAUUAAAAUGAAAGAUAUACAGUUUUUGCAGAAGAACAUAAAUUUAUCUUUUACAUUAAAAAAAAUUAAAGGCAAAUAAAAAAAAAAAUUACUGCUGUUGAAAAACUAAACUGGUGAUUAACAAAUACAAGUAGUUUAUAACAUCUCAAGUGAUGUAAAUUUCAAUUUGUAAACAAUCGUUAAAAAAACUACCUUGUUGUAGUUAUUUGAUGAAAUCUACAAGCUGAAAGGGAAAAGAGAGAAAAACAAAACUUUUUAAAAAACAAAAAUCAAGUCACAUACAUGUUUUUCUGUUUUAAGAAAAGUACUUAUUUAAAAUGUUUCAAAACCUACGAUUGAAAAUUAUUUUUAAUUACAAGGAUUUGGCCAACACAAAAUGGUGUUAAUAAAGUUGAAAUGUAUUUAGGAAGAUUUCUUUUUUCCCCACAUGGGUUUAAUGUCCUGUGUUGUGUAUUUUUUAAUAUAAGUGAGAGAUGAAGAAGAACUUAUUUUAAGAAAAUUUAGAGAAACAGAAAACAAAAUAUGGUCUUUUUCUGUGCAUGUUGACUAAGUUUUUAAGAGGAAAAUAAAUAUCAUUAAUAUAAUUUUUAAUAUAAAUGGACUUUUGAUACUUUUUUCACACUUAAAAUAAUCAACUGGUAAAAUAUUACAAAGCUGAUAUUAGAUAUUUCAGGUUUCAUUAAAAAAUACUUCAUAGAAUUUACUGCUCUGAAACUUGUGUAUUGGAAAUCUUAAGUACAUUUUAAUUAUUCUGAUCUAUUUGAAUAUGAGUGCCUUUAUAAACCAUAAAACUAGUUUUAAUAAGUUUGUUUUUUAACCAGAUGGUAAUGUUUAAAUAAUUCACUGUCAUCCUAGUCCCUAGUAGUUGUAUUAAAAUAACGUAAGUAUUAACAGCUGCAUGUAUAUAUUUAGAAUGUA